CCUCUGAUACAAGCUUUCGCCUUAAGAUGAGCCCAUGGCCCAUCAGCUAGUUGGUAGGGUAAAGGCCUACCAAGGCUACGACGGGUCGCUGGUCUGAGAGGACGACCAGCCACACUGGCACUGAGAUACGGGCCAGACUCCUACGGGAGGCAGCAGUGAGGAAUAUUGCGCAAUGGGGGAAACCCUGACGCAGCAACGCCGCGUGUGGGAAGAAGGCCUUCGGGUCGUAAACCACUUUUGCACGGGACGAAAAAGGGAUAUCGAACAAAUAUCCCCGAUGACGGUACCGUGAGAAUAAGCCACGGCUAACUCUGUGCCAGCAGCCGCGGUAAGACAGAGGUGGCAAGCGUUGUUCGGAAUUACUGGGCGUAAAGAGUCUGUAGGUGGUUUGUCAAGUCUUUGGUGAAAGGCCGUAGCUUAACUAUGGGAAUGCCAAAGAGACUGGCAGGCUGGAGGCUGGGAGAGGGAAGCGGAAUUUCUGGUGUAGCGGUGAAAUGCGUAGAUAUCAGAAGGAAGG
rnacentral:rRNA from 1 species